rnacentral:tRNA from 1 species
AGUUAGGUAUUGUAAACAACAUAGUAAAUUGCAAAUUUACAGAUGCUUUAGCUCUAGCUA